rnacentral:lncRNA from 1 species
GGUGUAUGUGUUCAGUACAGAUGCAUCCAUCAUAGACCUAAGUACAUAAUACACAUAAGCAAAUGUAACUUUUUUCCUGAAUAUUUUUGAUCUGAAGUUCAUUGAAUUUGUGGAUAGUCAGCCAACUGUAUGUUUUAUUGUCUUGUCUCUAAUCCACAGGACGAUACUUUGAUGAAAUUAGUCAGGACACAGGCAAGUACUGCUUUGGUGUUGAAGAUACAUUAAAGGCUUUGGAAAUGGGCGCUGUAGAGAUUCUAAUAGUCUAUGAAAAUCUGGAUAUAAUGAGAUAUGUUCUUCAUUGCCAAGGCACAGAAGGUAAGAAAACUAGAAAAUAAGAUUCUUAUUUGUUACUUUCUUGUGUAUGCUGGAAAUCUGGGGUGGGCAUUUGGGGACAUGUGGCUGAUUUCAGAAGCAACCAGAAGGCAGUUGUAUGUACCACUCUCUUUUGGUUGUUUGAUAUGUCUUUAUGGUAGAAGUAGUGUACCUGGUAGAUGCUGAGUGCAUGCUAAACUCUGUAGGAAAGGAGGUUAAUACAAUGAGUCCAGGAGACGUUUUCUCAUCUAAUGUCACAGGGCUCAUACCUAUUAAUACAUGAGAGCCAGAUUAACAAGUUCUUUUUGUUGUUGUUGUUGUUUCAUUUUAAACUACAGAGGAGAAAAUUCUCUAUUUAACUCCAGAACAAGAAAAGGAUAAAUCUCAUUUCACAGACAAAGAGGUAUGUGAUUAUUUUCUUUGGUGGUAAACGCAAGGAAGCACAGACUCUCAGCCUUGGGAGACCAAACCUCAUACUAGUUAGGGAGUCAGCAGGAAGGGGUCAGCUUCUAUUUGCCAUGCACUGAUCUGAUUCCAAGGAAGGGGGCCUAGGAAUGGUUACUGCAGAUCUUUUUAAGUAAUUAAGCAGUCAGGAAAACAUUGUUGUUAUCCUUGAAAUAAUUUGAAUAGUUUCUGCUAUCUGUGAACCUAUACUGCUUUCUUUGCUUUUAUCAGUUCUUCCACUGCAGUGGCUUCUCUGCAUUUGAUGUAAAUGUAUACCAGUUUAAAAUUCUAUGAGUUGGAGGACUUGGGCCUUUAUGAAGCUGCUCCCAAAAGCAUUUGUGGCAUGCUUCUUCUGGGGUGUGAAUGAGUGAGCAACAGCAUGACUUCUGGAAUCAACAGUAGGAAUCAUAAGUUGAAGAAUUUGUUAAUGUUUCAUUAAAGGGUAGAGCCUGAGAAGUAUUAAAGUAUAAAGUAAUCAGAAUUUCUCUGCUAUUUCAGUUCUGUUACCAGAAACCAGAAUUCACUUUAUUUUACACACAUUUUAUACAUAUGCAUAAUGAGUAGGAGAAUUAGAGUGGUGGAAAGAGGGAUUGAGAGGGUUAAGAUGAACUUCAUUGUGUAUAAUGUUUUUGUUUCUCAUGGUCGCAUCUAUAGACGGGGCAGGAACAUGAGCUGAUUGAGAGCAUGCCCCUUUUGGAAUGGUUUGCUAACAACUAUAAAAAAUUUGGAGCUACAUUGGAAAUUGUCACAGAUAAGUCACAAGAAGGAUCCCAAUUUGUGAAAGGAUUUGGUGGAAUUGGAGGUGAGUAGCAAAUCAGCAAAUAUAACUUAAAACAAGGGUUUCAGGCCAGGGCCUCUCCUGGAUUAAGUAAUUUCAGGUAAAGUGUACUCAUGGUCUACUUGAGGCAGGUGGCUACACAACUUGAUUUGGAUUUUUUUCCCCUCUCCAUUACUGGGGAAUGAACCAAGGGGUUCACACAGCCCUUUUUAUUUUAUUUUGAGAUGAAGUUUAAGUUAUCAAUGCAGGUUUCAAACUUGGCAGUCCUUCCUCAGCCUCCCAAGUCAAUAGGAAUACAGGUGUGCACCACCACACCCAGCUGGAACAAUUUUAAUCAGUCACUCUUUGCUUUCUAGAAUUCUGCAAAUGAAUGGACUACCCUUAUAGAGCAACCCCUCCCUAUUCCAUGAACAUUGGUACUUACCCUUUGAUUUUUUUCUCUAGGUAUCUUGCGGUACCGAGUAGAUUUCCAGGGAAUGGAAUACCAAGGAGGAGACGAUGAAUUUUUUGACCUUGAUGACUACUAGGUAGUCGACAUGGGUCCGGCAAAAUGUGCCUCACCCUCCAGCAUCCAACCCAAGGAGCAUACCCGUGGUGGAAUCCAAACAGAUCCCUGCCUUACAAUUGGAACAUUUCCAGAACUUAAUCCAUGAGCAUUGGAUACUGAAAAGAAAACCGAAACAAAACCAGACCCAACCCUGUACAUUGGUUUGUCAUGGUGUCAGCGCAGCAGCCUGCAACUAAGUUCCUAAAUGCCACUUUGGACUAAUUUAAAAAGAAUCCCAGUUUUUACUUUUACUUGAUGGUGAAAUUGGUUGCUCUUGUAUUUUAUGAAAAAAAAAAUGAUUUUUUUAACCUUCAUACAUAGAAGCAAAAUACUUUAACUGCUGUAAACCUUCAAAAGUUAAUAGAAGCGAGAUCAUACUGGUUUGUUUCUUAUUUUGAUUGGAGAAAAAUUAAAAUUGCUGCAUUUCGCAGUGACCCAUUUACAUGGCAUUCUCAGCUUAGACUGCAUAAGAAGAAAUACAUGUGGUGAAAUGUUGGAACCAUUUCUCUCUUGGUCUCUGUUUAAUGUUGAAAGGGUGAGCUAAUAGGAGGCAGUUUCAACCUCACUCCCACACACCCCUUCCCCAAACUGUCAGUUUCAAGGAUGCAGAUUGCAUUGUAAAGUCAAACUGACUCAUGAAGCAUUGAGGCCAGUGCACUGUUUACUUUCAUCUGUUUGGCAGACACAUUUGUGCCCGAUGUUUGGGAGCCCUUUGUAUCAUUUACUUUAACAAGGGUCCCCAUAAACCUAGCCUACUAGAAAUCAGUUUGGGAUGGAUAUGGUUGGGCUUCUGUGCUAUUUGCUGGGAUUGGGAGAAAUAAAACAAACAAUUUUAGUGGAAGCAAAGAAAUUUAAAGAUUAUUUUAUUUUGCUUGGGUCUACCCUUGGUAAAAAGGGAGGUGGUCGUGUUUCCUUGUGUUGGGUGGCAUGAGAUUAUGUGAAUGUUUUGAUUUUUUUUUUUUUUUUUUUUAAUGAAAUGGAAGAUUUUUCACCGGGACGACAGACAAGACAUGUAUGAUUGCAUGGAAUUAUAAACCCUUGGUGGGGUUUGAGCAUCUGUUUCAAAUGUGGGACUUAAAAGCACCUCUCAGAUGAGAAAUUAUGGGAGGAGGGUGGGAAGGGAAGGGGUGGGAAGGGAUGGGACACAGCUUCUGGCACGAUGGACUAAACCAUGUUGGAUCUAAAAAGUUGGCCUGAAAACCUGAAGCUUAUGCUUCAUAGCUAGGCUAUAAGGUGGACUAGAACCCAGCCCAUGCAAGUCAUGGCGUGCUCGAUGUGGUGACAGUGAACAAAGUGUAUAGGAUGUGCCCAGUGCUAGCAAUGAGAAAGUGUAUACCGAAUGGACUUUGAAGGACCAAAGGUUUUUUAAGUCAAUUGGUAUCACCACCACCCCAGUGACUAGGGUAGUGGGGUGCAUUUGGUUUUCAAAUUGGGUACUUUCAACACUUAGUGCCUGACUGCUGUUCUUCACUGACUUGAUUCAGUCACUCGUAGCUUUAUUGGUCUGAACCAACUCUUUGUUCCCAGGUUACAGACCUGCCUAUCGUUCCAAUAAUCCUGUUUCACUUGAAUGAAGGGAGUAUGUCUUAAAUGUAAAGCUUCUGGUACUCACACUGUGCUCUGAGGUCCAAAUAACUGUCUGUCAAUGUAUAACCUGAUGUCUCAACCCCCAGUGAGAAGAGUCAAUUCUUUGGUGUUCACCGAUGUGGGAGGCUUCACCGGAACAGGCUUUUGCUUUGGGCUCUGCUGUUUGUUUGCAGAACACCCAAGAGCAAGUAAACAUGCUCUCUUCACAGCAGUACCUUAGGGUUUUGCCAUUGUAAAUGGGUCUAAUGUGAUAUGAUAAGACCAGAGAAAUUGGAUGUAAAUUUACAUUUUUGAAUAUGCUUGUUGUUUCACAUGAUACAUUUAGGGUAUGCAGCUCCUUUUGUAGUUUUUAUUUUUACUAUUUAAGUUUGGAAAUGAUGCCAAAUUUUUGUAUUUCUUUAAUCAAUGUGUUCUCUUCGGUGAUAUAUAUUGCAUUAUAUAUUGAUGUGUGUAUCAAUAUAUACUGGUAUGUAUUACACUUACACAUGCAAACACAUAAAUAAGAGGGGGUGAAAAACGUAGCCUUUGCAUUCUCUAUAGCCUCUGCAGAGAGAUCUAAGCAGCGAAAUCUUGGUGUUGUGAUGUACAGAAAUGGAGAAGAGUAUUAAACCAUAUUUAAGAAUAUACUUUGUGUGCUUGAGAUUUUUUAGGACUGUUUCCUAGAAAAGUCUGAACUUUAGAGACAGUAUGA